rnacentral:sRNA from 1 species
CGAGCGCAGCGAGACAACGUUGCUUCAGCAACGGCCCGCAGGGGAAUAAUCCUCUCUCGCCGACCA